GAGGCUAGAGAGGGGCAUAGGGUGGGAUUACCAGCCAGGCAGAAGGGUGAGGUCAGGUCAGGUCUUAGAGAAAAAGCCCGGAAUGUCAAGAAGCAGGAGUCAUAUCCACCCAGUCCUGGUAGGAAGGUUCAGUGAGGCCCAGCAUCAAGCCUGGGGUGAGGGGGCCUGGGACAGCUGGUGGGCUCAGGCUGGGCAGCAAAGCUUCCAGAAUAUCAGGGUGGGUAAGGUUCUCUGAGCCCAACAUUCUCUUUUUCAAAUAUGGGAGCAGGUAGCAGAGUGGGGUCUCGAAGUGUGUGCAAAGUCCAAGUCUCCAGAUUCCCAGGCUGGGGUCCACCCCCUACACCUGGAGCAAAGUUCCAGUGUUUCCUUGAUUAAUUAUGCAGGUGCCACCCAUGGAGGUCACAUGGGGAGGUAGUCAGGAGCAUGCACUCUGGACCACAUGCCUGCCCUGACUCCCAGCCCCCCUUAUGGAAUGUGUGUCCCUGGGCAAGUCAUGUGCCCUGAGUCACACUGCAGUGAUUUCCUUACUGCAGAGCACAAUGCCCACCUCCACGUCUUCCCUAGGAAUUCUUAGAUGACAGAGAAAGCCUUUUGCAAGGAUGACAUCAUAAUCUUGGAAAACAAGACAGAAUGCCAUCUGUGGACCGAAAAUGCCAUGAUGGAUGUUAACUGAGUACCGCCCAGCUGAAGACUUCGUUUCCUGGGCUUCCUAUCAGCUAGGUGUGGUCUGUGGCUGGUGUGAACCCAAAACAUAUAUACAACUCCAGGUCUUGCCCUCCCCUUUCUCUUUCCUGUUGAUCAGGAUGUGGGUGUGAUGGUGGGAGAUGGGAGCCAAAUGCUGUGGAUGACAGAAGAGUAAGAUCAAAGAUACCCAUGCUGUGAAGCCACCAUAUCAGCCCAUGGCCACUUACACUCAGACUGUUACACAAGACGAAUAAACUCUGUCUCUUCUGAGCCA